CACGUAGGGCGCAAGCGUUGUCCGGAAUUAUUGGGCGUAAAGAGCUCGUAGGCGGACUGUCACGUCCGCUGUGAAAAGCUAGGGCUUAACCCUGGCCUUGCAGUGGAUACGGGCAGACUAGAGGUAGGUAGGGGAGAAUGGAAUUCCCGGUGUAGCGGUGAAAUGCGCAGAUAUCGGGAGGAAUACCGGUGGCGAAGGCGGUC
rnacentral:rRNA from 1 species